CAGGGAUGCCCUCCAGGGCUUGGCCGAGCAAUUACAGGCCACAUCCCAAAUGACCUUCCAGAACAGACUGGCCUUAGACAUGAUCUUAGCCGAAAAAGGGGAGUCUGUAAAAUACUUCCCGACACUAUGACUUGUUGCACUUACAUUCCAGAAAACACAGGUCCUAAUGGUAAAGUCACUCUGGCCAUAGCUAAAUUAAACAGACUCUCAGAAGAGUUAAAGAGACACUCUGGAGUUACUGAUCCCUGGGAAAAAUGGUUUGGUUGGAUGACUGGUUGGCAGAGAGCUUUAGUCCAGAUUGGUAUUGCCUUACUAAUUUUUCUUUUUAUUCUCGCUCUUCUCAUUUGUUGUGUCCUCCCAUGCCUAAGGAAAUUCCUGCAGAAAACUGUAGACCAAGCAACACCAACCUUCACUCAUCUGACAAUCGAUGAUCAAGACCUCAUCUCACCCUGUAUUCCGCUACAAACUCUCCCUUAUACUGAUGAAGUGCAGAAAGUCUAGGAAGGGACAGUACAGGGACAGCGUCCGUCUUUAUGGGUAGACUGCCGUACGGAGAAGUAGUGGAUAAGCCACUAUGGGUUACCAGCGGAGUGAAGAGUGUUCCUGAACCGUACUGACGGAUGUGCUGCAGCCUGUUAGGGUCAAGAGAGGGAUAGACUUGCACUUUGCAUUAACACUAAGUCAGCGGUCAUGGGGUUUCUGUGUCUUUGGGCUAAUACUUCUUCUGAUACUAACAAAUAAAGUUUUGUCUUUUAGCAAAUAACAUUUUAGGGGGGACUGUUGUAGAAUUAUUAGGCCUCUAUAAAUCUGUAAGGCCCCUUUAAAUCCUCUUGUUAUACCUCUAAGAGGCCCCCAUAGUUUUACAAGGAAGCUUUGUCUAUAGAACAUAGAAUUUGCAUGUCAGCAAGAAAUAGCUUUGAUAAAAUGUGUAUUUGCUAAAAUCCUUGAAACUUAACCUUGAGAAACUAACAAGUGCCAGCUACGCUCCAAAUGGAUAGCUGCCAAAAGGCCCCUCCCGUCGAGUGAGCUCCUCAUUUUAGCAAGAUGGCGCUAAGACCUGUAGGAGUUAAGAAAUUACGUAGAUAGUGACCUAAGAAUGGGGAGGGCAUUUUACUAACAUCUUAGCACCUAAG